AUACGGAUGGUGCGAGCGUUGUUCGGAAUUACUGGGCGUAAAGGGCGCGUAGGCGGCGAUGUAAGUCAAAUGUGAAAGUCCUCGGCUUAACCGGGGAAGUGCAUCUGAAACUGCAUUGCUUGAGUAUGGGAGAGGAAAGUGGAAUUCCCGGUGUAGAGGUGAAAUUCGUAGAGAUCGGGAGGAAUACCGGUGGCGAAGGCGACUUUCUGGACCAAUACUGACGUUGAGGCGCGAAAGCGUGGGGAGCAAACAGGAUUAGAUACCCUAGUAGUCC
rnacentral:rRNA from 1 species